UUUUUUUUUUUAAUCUUGGUUUAUAUUUGUGAUUUCCCUGUCUGGGUUGACUUCUGGUUGCUCUGUCCUGUGUUCUAGCCUUGGGUUGAUAUCCGAUAUUAUUGGUUUUCUCACCAGAGAACUCCCUUUAGUAUUUCUUGUAGUUUUGGUUUGGUUUUUAUGAAUUCCCUAAACUUCUGUUUAUCUGGAAAUGUCCUAAUUUCGCCUUCAUAUUUGAGAGACAGUUUUGCUGGAUAUAUGAUUCUUGGCUGGCAUUUUUUUUUCCUUCAGUGCUUUAUGUAAGUCAUCUCAUUGCCUUCUUGCCUGCAUGGUUUCUGCUGAGUAGUCCGAGCUUAUUCUUUCUGACCCUCCUUUGUAGGUGACUUUUAGUUUAUCUCUAGCCGCUCUUUAAAUUCUCUCUUUAUCCUUGGUUUUGGCAAGUUUGAUUAUAAUAUGUUUUUUGGUGACUGUCUUUUGAGAUCUACCUUAUGUGGACUUCGAUGAGCAUCGUGGAUAGAUGCCAACAAAUCUUCAACAAUUCUCUCAGUAUUUUCUGCAUUUAUGUUCAUGAGAGAUAUUGCUCUGUAAUUUUUGUGUGUGUGUGUGAUGUCUUUACCUGGUUUUGGAGUCAGGGGUAUGCUGGCUUCAUAGAAUGAGUUUGGGAGUAUUUCAUCAUUUUCUGAAAUACCUUUAGUAGUAGUGGUGUUAACUCUUCUCUAAAACUUUGGUAGAAUUUUCCAGUGAAGCUGUCAAGGCCAGGGCUUUUUUUUGUUGUUGUUGGGAGUUUUUUUUUUUAGUUGCCUUUUCAAUCUCUUCUUUUGUUAUGUUUUUGUUAGUUGUUCUACCUCUGUUUGUGUUAGUCUAGGUAGGUAGUGUGUUUCUAGGAAUUCAUUUCUUCUAGGUUUUCACAUUUGUUAGAGUACAGUUUUUCAUAGCAAUCUGAUAUGAUUCUUUUAAUUUCAGUUGGGUCUGUUGUAAUAUCACCCAUGUCAUUUCUUCUUUGGGAUAUUUGCUUCCUCUCCUGUUUUUCUUUUGUCAGUUUGACCAAUGGUUUAUCAAUUUUGUUAUUUUUUUCAGAGAACCAGCUUUUGGUCUUGUUAAUUCUUUCAAUUGUUUUUCUGUUUUCUAUUUCAUUUAGUUCAGCUCUAAUUUUUAUUAUUUGUUUUCUUCUGGUGCCUGAUGGAGUCUUUUGUCGCUCACUUUCUAUUUGUUCAAGUUGUAGGGACAGUUCUCUGCUUUUGGCUCUUUCUUCUUUUUGUAUGUGUGCAUUUAUCGAUAUAAAUUGGCCUCUGAGCGCCGCUUUUGCUGUGUCCCAGAGGUUUUGAUAGGAAGUGUUUUCAUUCUCAUUGCAUUCUCUGAAUUUCUUUAUUCCAUCCUUAACGUCUUCUAUAAUCCGGACUUUUUUGAGCAGGGUAUUGUUCAGUUUCCAAGUGUUUGAUUUCUUUUCCCUGCUUUUCCUGUUAUUGAUUUCCACUUAUGGUGGCGUAGUGGUUAAGUGCUACGGCUGCUAACCGAGAGGUCAGCAGUUCAGAUCCACCAGGUGCUCCUUGGAAACCCUAUGGGGCAGUUCUAGUGUGUCCUAUAGGGUCACUAUGAGUCGGAAUCGACUCGACGGCAGUGGGUUUUUUUGGUGUUUUAUGGCCUUAUGGUCAGAGAAGACGCUUUGUAAUAUUUCAAUGUUUUGGAUUCUGCUAAGGCUCGCUUUAUGACCUAAUAUGUGGUCUAUUCUCGACAAUGUUCCAUGUGCACUAGAAAAGAAAGUAUACUUGGUUGCUGUUGGGUGGAGUGUUCUGUAUAUGUCUACCAGGUCAAGUUGGUUGAUUGUGGCAUUUAGAUCUUCCGUGUUUCUAUUGAGCGUCUUUCCGGAUGUCCUGUUCUUCGCCGAAAGUGGUGUGUUGAAGUCUCCUACUAUUAUUGUGGAGCUGUCUAUCUCACUUUUCAAUGCUGAUAGGGUUUAUGUAUCUUGCAGCCCUGUCAUUGAGUGCAUAAAUAUUUAAUAUGGUUAUAUCUUCUUGGUGUAGUGCCCCUUUAAUCAUUAUAUAGUGUCCUUCCUUAUCCUUUCUGAUGGAUUUAACUUUAAAGUCUAUUUUGUCAGAAAUUAAUAUUGCCACUCCUGCGCUUUUUUGAUUGUUGUUUGCUUGAUAUAUUUUUUUCCAUCCUUUGAGUUUUAGUUUGUUUCUGUCCCUGAGUCUAAGUUGUGACUCUUGUAGGCAGCAUAUAGACGGAUCAUGUUUUUUAAUCGAGCCUGAGACUCUCUGUGUCUUUGGAAGCCCUGGUGGCGUAGUGGUUAAGUGCUGCAGCUGCUAACCAAGAGGUCGGCAGUUCAAAUCCACCAGGCGCUCCUUGGACAGUCUGUGGGGCAGUUCUGCUCUGUCCUGUAGGGUCACUAUGAGUCGGAAUCGACUCGAUGGCAUAGGGUUUGGUUUUGGUUUGGUGCCUUUAUUGGGCUUCUUUCUGGGUGUCCUGUCUCCUUUACCAAAACAAAGCGGUGUGUUGAAGUCUCCUACUAGUAUUGUGGCGCUCUCUAUCUCACUUUUCAAUACUGUUAGAGUUUGUUUUACUGUUACUCAGCCUGGAAGCCACACAGCAUUACUUUCACUGUACUCCAUUGCUGUAGCAGCCACAAGCCCACCCACAUUCAACGGGAGGAGACAAAGACUGCUCCUCUCAGUGGAGGCUGUCAAGGUCUCCCUGUAGAAGAGUAUGUGGGAUGGAGCUCUUGUUGUGUCUAUCCUUGGGAAAUACACUCUGCCACACUGUGGUUAUUAUUACCAUUUGUACAUGUCUAGAAAUGAUGGUGAAUCCAUUCUCUCGACUCUCUCCAGGUGCUUUGCUUUCUAAAGCUGUGUUGGUAGACCGUGAGCCACACGUGAGUUUUGCAUAUCUUUUUUACCACGUGGUUUACAGUGGUAGUGAUUGGUGCCUUGAAGUCAUGAGCUGUGCAUCUACUACCACCUUCUGACAGUAGAUCGUAAUUGCAGAUUUGGUUUAAACCUCUUUCCUUGGAUCCAACAAAUAAUUGCUCACAAAGCAGGUGAGAACACUGUCACUUGUCCUCAUCUAGAAAAUGGGGAUAACGACAGCAUCUCCUACACAGGGUGGUUUGUAGAUUGAAUGAGUCAAUACCUAUACUCACACCAAACGGGCCAGCACAUGGUGUUACACUCGAAAAUUUGUUAUGAUUCAUGCUAGGACCCAGGGCCGAUGGUUAAAAUUCAUGGGGCAUGCCGGGUUUGAGAGGGAACAUGAAGGACAAAUGGAAUAGACUGAAAACUGAAAUCUCUAGCAAACAAGCUGUCCUCCAGGGCCCGGCACACGGGAGUCACUGGAGGGUGCUGGCUGAAUGAGUGGGUGAAGAAGGCGACAGCAGAAAUGCAGACCAAGCUGGAAACCUGUCACAUCCUGCUCACAGACAGCCCCUUCCCCACAUGAAGGGGAGAGGAAGAGGAGGCAUCUUUGAUCAGACACAGGAGUCACUGUCACCAUGUGGAGACCUUCUUCCAGCUGAGGAGACUCCUCAGGGCCCCCUUCACGUCCUUAUUCCUUAGGCUGUGAAUGAAGGGGUGGAGCGUGGGUGCCACCAACUCAUCAGAGCAAAGAGGAAGAACUGGCAGAGGAGACUGAGGAUCAACAUGUGGUGAGGAGGGGGAGAAACGGAGAGUGUGCAGUGGCAUUCUGGAGCAAGGCUGAGGUCCCCAGGUGUCAGGAGGUGGAGUGAUCAGUUGUCACGUGAUGCUGAAGGGUCAUGUACGAGGAGGUCUGGGAACCCACCCUGGGUUUAGUAAUGAGACGGCGGUGGUUUGAGGGGAGGUGAGGGUGCUAGGAGGGACUGGGAAGUGAGGAAUUGGGGACAGAGAGCCCAGACAACCCUUGCGAGGGGUGGCACUCUGGCUGUGAAGAAGAGGAGGAGAAAGUGCUCUAGGUGGAGGGGGACCUGGGGUCCAGGAGAGGCUGGUGGGUUGUGAAGAAGUGAGAGGUUGGAGCCGUUCAGGUGCUCACAGGGGCUGUCGGGUACAAGGGAGCACUGACUUGUGUGGGAGAGAAGAGUUUACCUGGCGGGGAGGGGGCUGUGCACACGGGAACCUGCCUCUCCCCCAAGCCUCACUCCAGGGGACCCUUCCUUCCCCCACCCCAGAUUCUGAGUGCCAUGGACUGAGAUGCCUCUUGUCGAAAGCAGAAGUUGUGCCAGAAGCUGGAACAGACGUCCAACAACAGCUCAGGGUGGUGCAGUUGGGUCUGCUGAUCCAGCAACUCCAGCCAGAAGGGCCAGCAAUGCUCUUUGCCGUGAUACAAACACAAAGGUAUGUUCUCGCGCACGUCCUGGUAAACGACCAACGGGAACUCCAGUCCCAGAUGACAUGCAAAAUUGAGGGAACUCGAUGACCACAAACUGCACAACAGAACGCUCAUUUUCGUCGCUAAAGAGACUAAAAAACCCUUAGCAUACAACGAUGAUUCAAGAAAGACUGGACUCAUUACCCUUAUUAUGUACGGAAGUGGACAUUGUUCGGCAGCUUAAUUGGGAUGAAAUCAUUGAAGAAUUUGUAAGAGCAAAGAAUAAAAAGAAAUGUUUUUAAUUAUAACGUGUUAGAGACGAAAGAUCUAAAAACAAAAUACAGGAAUUUGUUAUAAUAUUUGUUUUCUGAUCAUUAAAUUUUUCUUUUGUGACAUCUUUUCAUUUGUUCACUUAUAAUUCAAGUGUUUAUUAGAAAGCAAACAUCAAAAUUGAAGCAUGAGCCAUUUAAAGUAAAACUGGUGAAAAUCAAUUUUUUGUCAUGGGAGAGCAACAAAACUUCACAUUGAUUGUCGAAACAACUAAGUUCACUGGUUCAGUUUCUUUGUUGUAGAAUAUGUGGAGCACUCCUUUUUAAAAAAACUUUGUUUGCUAAAAAUUAAGUUCCCACUUAACAAUUUUUAUACAAGUUGUUCCAGGACAUUGGUUACAUUUUUCGCAACGUGUCAAUAUUCUCAUUAUUUCUGUGCCUUUUUGUUCUAUUUCUGUUAAUACAGCUUCUCUGCCCCUCCUUAGCUUGUCAUCUUUGUUUUAGGGUUGUUUUAGUGUUGACUGUUUGGUCUCAUACAGCUGAUAUAUUUAAGGAAGCACAGUAUUCACGGGUGACAUUGUUUAUUUUAUAAGCCAAUCUAUUGUUUGGAUGACAGGUGACCACCAGGAGUGGCUUCAGUUCCAAGUUCAAAGGAUAACUUAAGGGGGUAGUCUCGGCGGUUCCUCUAGUCUCUAUUGGUCCAGGAAGUCUCGCCGUUUUCGUGAAUUUGAUUUUCAUUCUGCAUUUUCUCUGUUUCUGUCCGGGACCUUCUAUUGUGUCCCUGGUCAGAAUGGUUGGUGGUGGUAUCCUGGUACCCUCUAGUUCUUCUGGUCUUAGGCUACACGAGGCUGUGGCUUAUAUGGACCCUGAAGGCACAGUGGUUAAGAGCUUGGUGGUCAGCCAAAAGGCCCGAAUUUCGAUUCCACCAACUGCUCCUUGCAAACCCUGUGGGGCAGUUCUACUCUGUCCUGUAGGGUCACUAUGAGUCGGAAUCGACUCGACGGCAAUGGGUAUUAGUCCUGCGGACUAGUUUCUUCUUUGAGUCUUUGGUUUCUUUCUUUUUCUUUUGUUCCAGAUGAGUAGAGACCAAUAGUUGUAUCUUAGAUGGCCACUUGCAAGCCUUUAAGACCCCAGACGCUGCUCACCAAACUAGGAUGUAGAACAUUAUCUUUACCAACUAUGUUAUGCCAAUUGACCGAGUUGUCCCUCAAGACUAUGGCUCCAAGCCUUCAAACCUAGGAAUUCAAUCCCGCGAGGUGUUUGGUUAUG